AACGAACGCUAGCGGCAGGCCUAAUACAUGCAAGUCGAGGGGCAGCGCGGUAGCAAUACUGGCGGCGACCGGCGCACGGGUGCGUAACACGUAUGCAACCUACCUUCAACUGGAGGAUAGCCCGGGGAAACUCGGAUUAAUACUCCAUAACACAGGGAUCCCGCAUGGGAAUAUUGUUAAAGCUACGGCGGUUGAAGAUGGGCAUGCGUCCUAUUAGCUAGAUGGUAAGGUAACGGCUUACCAUGGCUACGAUAGGUAGGGGUCCUGAGAGGGAGAUCCCCCACACUGGUACUGAGACACGGACCAGACUCCUAGGGAGGCAGCAGUGAGGAAUAUUGGACAAUGGGCGCAAGCCUGAUCCAGCCAUGCCGCGUGCAAGGAAGAAGCAUCUAUGGUGUGUAAACUGU
rnacentral:rRNA from 1 species